CAGAUAGAUGCCGAAAGGUUAGGCACCUCUUUUGGGUAGAGGCCCAAGUUAGUUCGAUUCUAGCCUAUCUGA
rnacentral:tRNA from 1 species